UUUAAGCGUUAGGGAUAGGAGCGAUAUCCUUUUUGUUUUUUCUUUAAAAACAAAAAGAUAUAGCGGAUAGCCCGACCGUAG
rnacentral:sRNA from 2 species